GUGACCUCAAAUCAGGUAGGACUACCCGCUGAACUUAAGCAUAUCAAUAAGCGGAGGAAAAGAAACUAACAAGGAUUCCCCUAGUAACUGCGAGUGAAGCGGGAAAAGCUCAAAUUUAAAAUCUGUCAGUCUUUGGCUGUCCGAGUUGUAAUCUAGAGAAGUGGUAUCCGCGCUGGACCGUGUACAAGUCUCCUGGAAUGGAGCGUCAUAGAGGGUGAGAAUCCCGUCUUUGACACGGACUGCCAGGGCUUUGUGAUACGCUCUCAAAGAGUCGAGUUGUUUGGGAAUGCAGCUCAAAAUGGGUGGUAAAUUCCAUCUAAAGCUAAAUAUUGGCGAGAGACCGAUAGCGAACAAGUACCGUGAGGGAAAGAUGAAAAGAACUUUGGAAAGAGAGUUAAACAGUACGUGAAAUUGCUGAAAGGGAAACGCUUGAAGUCAGUCGCGUUGUCCAGGGAUCAACCUUGCUUUUGCUUGGUGUACUUUCUGGUUGACGGGUCAGCAUCAAUUUUGACUGUUGGAAAAAGGUCAGGGGAAUGUGGCAUCUUCGGAUGUGUUAUAGCCCUUGGUUGCAUACAAUGGUUGGGAUUGAGGAACUCAGCACGCCGCAAGGCCGGGUGUAAACCACGUACGUGCUAGGAUGCUGC
rnacentral:rRNA from 1 species